AUUGAACGCUGGCGGCAGGCCUAACACAUGCAAGUCGAACGAGUGGCGGACGGGUGUGAAAUGUCUGGGAGACUGCCCGAUGGAGGGGGAUAACUACUGGAAACGGUAGCUAAAACAGCAUACCAUCGGAUGUGCACAGAUGGGAUUAGCGUGUAGGUGAGGGAACGGCUCACCUCGGCGAGUAUCCCUAGCUGGUCUGAGAGGAUGACCAGCCAUACUGUAACUGAGACACGGUCCAGACUCCUACGGGAGGUAGCAGUGGGGAAUAUUGCACAAUGGGCGCAAGCCUGAUGCAGCCAUGCCGCGUGUAUGAAGAAGGCCUUCGGGUUUGAAAUUACUUUCAGCGGGGAGGCGUUACCCGCAGAAGAAGCACCGGCUAACUCCGUGCCAGCCGCCGCGGUAAUUC
rnacentral:rRNA from 1 species